UUCCGGUUGAUCCUGCCGGACCUGACUGCUAUCGGAUUGAUACUAAGCCAUGCGAGUCAUUGUAGUAAUACAAGGCAGACGGCUCAGUAACGCGUAGUCAACCUAACCUAUGGACGGGAAUAACCUCGGGAAACUGAGUAUAAUGCCCGAUAGAACAUUAUGCCUGGAAUGGUUUAUGUUCCAAAUGAUUUAUCGCCGUAGGAUGGGACUGCGGCCUAUCAGUUUGUUGGUGAGGUAAUGGCCCACCAAGACUAUUACAGGUACGGGCUCUGAGAGGAGUGGCCCGGAGAUGGGUACUGAGACACGGACCCAGGCCCUAUGGGGCGCAGCAGGCGAGAAAACUUUGCAAUGUGCGAAAGCACGACAAGGUUAAUCCGAGUGGUUUCUGCUAAAGGAACCUUUUGUCGGUCCUAGAAACACCGAUGAAUAAGGGGUGGGCAAGUUCUGGUGUCAGCCGCCGCGGUAAAACCAGCACCUCAAGUGGUCAGGAUGAUUAUUGGGCCUAAAGCAUCCGUAGCCGGCUUUGUUAGUUUUCGGUUAAAUCUGUACGCUUAACGUACAGGCUGCCGGGAAUACUGCAGAGCUAGGGAGUGGGAGAGGUAGACGGUACUCGGUAGGAAGGGGUAAAAUCCUUUGAUCUAUUGAUGACCACCUGUGGCGAAGGCGGUCUACCAGAACACGUCCGACGGUGAGGGAUGAAAGCUGGGGGAGCAAACCGGAUUAGAUACCCGGGUAGUCCCAGCUGUAAACUAUGCAAACUCAGUGAUGCAUUGGCUUGUGGCCAAUGCAGUGCUGCAGGGAAGCCGUUAAGUUUGCCGCCUGGGAAGUACGUACGCAAGUAUGAAACUUAAAGGAAUUGGCGGGGGAGCACCACAAGGGGUGAAGCCUGCGGUUCAAUUGGAGUCAACGCCGGA
rnacentral:rRNA from 1 species